rnacentral:rRNA from 1 species
CUGGCGGCGGCCUAACACAUGCAAGUCGAGCGGAUGAAGGGAGCUUGCUCCUGGAAUUCAGCGGCGGACGGGUGAGUAAUGCCUAGGAAUCUGCCUGGUAGUGGGGGAUAACGUCCGGAAACGGGCGCUAAUACCGCAUACGUCCUGAGGGAGAAAGUGGGGGAUCUUCGGACCUCACGCUAUCAGAUGAGCCUAGGUCGGAUUAGCUAGUUGGUGGGGUAAAGGCCUACCAAGGCGACGAUCCGUAACUGGUCUGAGAGGAUGAUCAGUCACACUGGAACUGAGACACGGUCCAGACUCCUACGGGAGGCAGCAGUGGGGAAUAUUGGACAAUGGGCGAAAGCCUGAUCCAGCCAUGCCGCGUGUGUGAAGAAGGUCUUCGGAUUGUAAAGCACUUUAAGUUGGGAGGAAGGGCAGUAAGUUAAUACCUUGCUGUUUUGACGUUACCAACAGAAUAAGCACCGGCUAACUUCGUGCCAGCA